UACGGGGGGAGCAAGCGUUGUUCGGAUUUACUGGGCGUAAAGGGCUCGUAGGCGGUCCAUCGCGUCGGGAGUGAAAAGCUGGGGCUUAACCCCAGUCCUGCUUCCGAUACGGGUGGACUAGAGGUAGGCAGGGGAGAAUGGAAUUCCUGGUGUAGCGGUGAAAUGCGCAGAUAUCAGGAGGAACACCGGUGGCGAAGGCGGGUCUCUGGGCCGAUACUGACGCUGAGGAGCGAAAGCGUGGGGAGCGAACAGG
rnacentral:rRNA from 1 species